rnacentral:rRNA from 1 species
UACGUAGGGUGCGAGCGUUGCCCGGAUUUAUUGGGCGUAAAGGGCGCGUAGGCGGCCACGCACGUCCGUUGUGAAAUCGCCCGGCUCAACUGGGCGGGGUCAGCGGAUACGGUGUGGCUAGAGCAAGCUAGGGGGCAAUGGAAUUCCCGGUGUAGUGGUGGAAUGCGUAGAUAUCGGGAGGAACACCAGUGGCGAAGGCGGUUGCCUGGAGCUUUGCUGACGCUGAUGCGCGAAAGCGUGGGGAGCCGAUCCGG